rnacentral:rRNA from 1 species
GACGUAGGGCGCGAGCGUUGUCCGGAUUUAUUGGGCGUAAAGAGCUCGUAGGCGGCUUGUCGCGUCGUCCGUGAAAACCCACAGCCCAACUGUGGGCUUGCGGUCGAUACGGGCAGGCUAGAGUCCGGUAGGGGAGACUGGAAUUCCUGGUGUAGCGGUGAAAUGCGUAGAUAUCGAGAGGAACACCAGUGGCGAAGGCGAGUCUCUGGACAUUUCCUGACGCUGAGGCACGAAAGCCAGGGGAGCAAACGGG